CCGGCGGCUGGCGACUGUCGGGGUGGAAGCCGAGGAUUGCCCUUUGUCUGGACAACUUUUCCGGAGGAGGCGCCCUCUCCGAGGGGCUGUCUCCUUGGAGGUCAAGGGAGCGGGAACGGAGCCCCAACUAUUUCCAAGCCUGUUUUUCCACAACUGUAAGAGAAUUAGGACCCAGGAGAUUCCGGAAAUCUCUCCAAAGGGAAAGUGCUGAUCAUCUUUCCUUCUGCCCACAAGCUUCACUCUCCAGCGCCCCGUUGCUCUCUGUUUGCCCUGAGGCAGUAGAGUCACCAUCUAGACGACAGACCUAGCUGCCUAAGAGUCACUGCUUUGGAGCUCAGGCUCUUAAUUAGAGAUUUCAGCUCCAGGACUUCUGCUCCCCGCCCCCCCCCCCCAAAAGUUAAUGAUCUGUAAGGCCUCUCAACCAACAUCUCUCCCACAAAGUCCGGCUCCAUUUCUGCAGCGGGCUUGGGGAACUGGGCCCCAGGACUUGUCUCUGCCCCCAGGAAAGCAGUGGUGAAAAUCAUGGUUGAGAAAGGGCCAUGUGAGGAUACAGUGACAAAGCCGCCAUCUGCAAGCCAAGCAGACGGGCUUCCAGGGAAACCAAAUCUGCUGACAUCCUGAUCUGUACUACCAGCUUCUAGAACAAUGAGAAAUACAUUUCUGUUAUUUACGCUCCCCAUUGUGUGGUAUUUUGUUAUGGGAGCCCUAGCAGACCAAGACAGUUUACCCAAUUUGUUUAUCCAUUCUCUUGUUGAUGGAUGUUUGGUUGUUUCCAGUUUUGGGUUUUUUUUUUGCAAUU